GGACGCAGAGGCCUGCCAGCUGCCGGAGGAGCCCGCCCAGGGAGAGCCCAGCUCUGGCACUGACAUGUGGGCACAGCUGUGAGGCCUGGGCCUGUGCCCCUCCACAGCAAGCAGCGCCCCCCAGCUCCUGCCUCCGGCAAGGAACCUGCGCCCCGGCCCCCUCUGACUUCUGCUUCCCUCCCUGCUUUGGGCAAUAAAGAACUGAUACUGA